rnacentral:rRNA from 1 species
GAUGAACGCUGGCGGCGUGCUUAACACAUGCAAGUCGAACGGAAAGGCCCAAGCUUGCUUGGGUACUCGAGUGGCGAACGGGUGAGUAACACGUGGGUGAUCUGCCCUGCACUUCGGGAUAAGCCUGGGAAACUGGGUCUAAUACCGGAUAGGACGAUGGUUUGGAUGCCAUUGUGGAAAGUUUUUUCGGUGUGGGAUGAGCUCGCGGCCUAUCAGCUUGUUGGUGGGGUAAUGGCCUACCAAGGCGUCGACGGGUAGCCGGCCUGGGAGGGUGUACGGCCACAUUGGGCCUGGGAUACGGCCCAGACUCCCACGGGAGGCAGCAGUGGGGAAUAUUGCACAAUGAGGGCAGGCCUGAUGCAGCGACGCCGCGUGGUGGAUGACGGCCUUCGGGUUGUAAACUCCGUUCGCUAGGGACGAGGCGUUUUUGUGACGGUACCUGGAGAAGAAGCACCGGCUAACUACGUG